UUACCGCGGCUGCUGACACCAGACUUGCCCACCCCUUAUCCUGCACCUUUUUUAGAGGUGCCAAAAGACCUCUUAGCGGAAUCACUCAGAGUAACCCUGUCAGGCUUUCGCCUAUUGCAGAGGUUUCGCGCCUGCUGCGCCCCAUAGG
rnacentral:rRNA from 1 species